rnacentral:lncRNA from 1 species
GGUGGAAUUCAUCCUUCCGAGGACUGAGAUGAGGACGGAAAAUGAACCAUCGGGGGGAUUGACGGUGAAGAUGCUAAUACCUGCCCAGCAUCGACCCUAGUGCGGGUCCCAAGACCAUCCCCCUGUGCAGGCUCCACCACCGCUGUGCUAACUGGACCGCGGCAGAAGAGUGGAAGUUUUCAUGGGCUGAGCUGCUGAGUUCAGCCUGGGAACUGAGGCCAACAAGGGAGUCUCCUCGGCACACAAGUUUGAAAGAAGUCCUGGUGACUUCAAGCUCAGAACCAUGGACGGCAGGGCUCCCUCUGGAUGUGGAAUUCUCCGUCCCUUUCCAGGGAGGGAACAAAGCCCACAGCACCGGCUAAAUAGGGGAGUAGAAUGGGAAUGUGAUAAAAAGUACCACCUCUGCAUCCUUCAAGUCCUUGAUGGUGGUACUAAUCUCUGCAAGCUCUACAAGAAUGCAGUAU